rnacentral:rRNA from 1 species
ACGCACGCUGGCGGCGUGCUUCACACAUGCCAGUCGAACGGAAAGGCCCUGCUUUUGUGGGGUGCUCGAGUGGCGAACGGGUGAGUAACACGUGAGUAACCUGCCCUUGACUUUGGGAUAACUUCAGGAAACUGGGGCUAAAACCGGAUAGGAGCUCCUGCUGCAUGGUGGGGGUUGGAAAGUUUCGGCGGUUGGGGAUGGACUCGCGGCUUAUCAGCUUGUUGGUGGGGUAGUGGCUUACCAAGGCUUUGACGGGUAGCCGGCCUGAGAGGGUGACCGGCCACAUUGGGACUGAGAUACGGCCCAGACUCCUACGGGAGGCAGCAGUGGGGAAUAUUGCACAAUGGGCGGAAGCCUGAUGCAGCAACGCCGCGUGCGGGAUGACGGCCUUCGGGUUGUAAACCGCUUUCGCCUGUGACGAAGCGUGAGUGACGGUAAUGGGUAAAGAAGCACCGGCUAACUACGUG